rnacentral:misc_RNA from 1 species
AAAGUCGUAACAAGGUAACCGUAGGUGAACCUGCGGUUGGAUCAUUAACAAUCCAACGAGCCUUGGGUUCAGCUUGCUGAAUGCCUUGGCUCAAACUGGCUUCGGCCUUUAACCUUUUGUGAACCGUUAUUUGCUCUGGCUCUUGCUUCGGCUCUAGUCAGGGUAUUCUUAUACUUUAUUUUGACUGUCUUAUAGUAGAUGCAAAUCUUUACAACUUUUGACAACGGAUCUCUUGGCUCUC